rnacentral:sRNA from 1 species
UGGAAGUGUUUAUGUAAAUACAUGAUUGCAUUUCUGUUUAAUAGGGUUAAUUUCCAGAAAUAGAAUUUCUGGGUUGAGGGCAUAAGCAUUUUUAAAUGAUUGUCACUGUGUCUUUUCUCACAAAGCAGUAGCAGCUUUCUAAAAGUAUCCAGUUCCUUUGUUGCUCCCACUACAAGGGUUUUCAUAAUGAGGCCUAGUCUAUGGCAGUGAGCUUUCCUGCUUAUUUUUUCAUUCUCAUAGAUGUGUUUAUUUUUUUAGGAUCGAGGAAAUAACAAUGUAAUGAGCAAUUAUGAGGCCUACAAGCCUUCCACAGGAGCUAUGGGAGAUCGACUAACGGCAAUGAAAGCAGCUUUCCAGUCACAGUACAAGAGUCACUUUGUUGCAGCCAGUUUAAGUAAUCAGAAGGCUGGAAGCUCUGCUGCUGGGGCAAGUGGGUGGACUAGUGCAGGGAGCUUGAAUUCUGUUCCAACUAACUCAGCACAACAGGGCCAUAACAGUCCUGACAGCCCCGUCACCAGUGCCACCAAGGGCAUCCCAGGCUUUGGCAAUA